UUAAAGGGAGACCUGCCCACUCAAGUUACCGAGAGCAAUGUGAAAGUUGCAAAGAGGUAAUGAGUUGGUCAUCCCAGGUCGGUCGUAGGAGAGUAUAAAGGCUUUCAAACUAUAGAAAGGUUCGUGUUGUGUUAUGGGCUAUUAGCUCAGGUGGUUAGAGCGCACCCCUGAUAAGGGUGAGGUCCCUGGUUCGAGUCCAGGAUGGCCCACCUGAAGCAAGUAAAAAGAGCAAAGUCAAAAGUCAAAAGAAAAAUCUAAUUUUUUCUACUGACUUUGAAGUUUGAACUUUGAACUUGAGUCUGGGGGUUUAGCUCAGUUGGUAGAGCGCCUGCUUUGCAAGCAGGAUGUCAGGAGUUCGAGUCUCCUAACCUCCACCUGUAAAACCAGUAAAAGCAAAAAGGAAAAGUCUAGCACCUGAAAGCAAAAGAGUCAGGCUGCUGGGAUGAAGACCAGCCAGAACCUUGAAAACUGCAUAGAGAAGCGAAAUGUAGGUAG
rnacentral:tRNA from 1 species